rnacentral:rRNA from 1 species
UACAGAGGUCCCAAGCGUUGUUCGGAUUCAUUGGGCGUAAAGGGUGCGUAGGCGGCGCGGUAAGUCGGGUGUGAAAUCUUGGAGCUUAACUCCGAAACUGCAUUCGAUACUGCCGUGCUUGAGGACUGGAGAGGAGACUGGAAUUUACGGUGUAGCGGUGAAAUGCGUAGAUAUCGUAAGGAAGACCAGUGGCGAAGGCGGGGUCUCUGGACAGUUCCUGACGCUGAGGCACGAAGGCCAGGGGAGCAAACGGGG